AUUUAUGUGAUAAGUUUUGAUCUAUGUGAUAACGUGACACUUUGAUAUUAUGCAACAUAAUCAUCUUAUAAAUUAUAAGUUUUUUUUUUUUUACUAAAGCAGUGUUUGGACAUUGAACUUGACAAUUUUGGUCAUUUUAGUCUAGAACUUGACAACUUUACCCAAUUUUGGUCCAUGUGAUGACAUGGUCAUCACCUAAAAGUUAUAUAUAUCUAUAAAAAAUUUAGGUGAUGACUUGCACAAUCUCAGAAUUUUAUAUCAUCA
rnacentral:lncRNA from 1 species